rnacentral:rRNA from 1 species
AUUGAACGCUGGCGGCAUGCUUUACACAUGCAAGUCGAACGGUAACAGGCCGCAAGGUGCUGACGAGUGGCGAACGGGUGAGUAUGCAUCGGAACGUGCCCAGUCGUGGGGGAUAACUACUCGAAAGAGUAGCUAAUACCGCAUACGAUCUAUGGAUGAAAGCGGGGGACCGUAAGGCCUCGCGCGAUUGGAGCGGCCGAUGUCAGAUUAGGUAGUUGGUGGGGUAAAGGCUCACCAAGCCAACGAUCUGUAGCUGGUCUGAGAGGACGACCAGCCACACUGGGACUGAGACACGGCCCAGACUCCUACGGGAGGCAGCAGUGGGGAAUUUUGGACAAUGGGCGCAAGCCUGAUCCAGCAAUGCCGCGUGCAGGAAGAAGGCCUUCGGGUUGUAAACUGCCUUUGUACGGAACGAAACGGCUCUGGUUAAUACCCGGGGCUAAUGACGGUACCGUAAGAAUAAGCACCGGCUAACUACGUG